UCAGUUGCCAACCCAAUUAUUAUUUUAAAAGGUUGUUCUUUUCCUCUUAGCACUACAUAUGGUAUUACGAGUGCAAUCCACUUCUUCAAUUCAAUAUCAACAAUAGUUGUCCCGUAAAAACCUCAUUGAAAAAAGGCGACAUUUCGGUUAGCUAACCAAUCGAUUAAACUUCGAAUGAUCAUAAAACUUUUUACGACGCUCUCGCAAGUUGUAUUGAUUCAAAAGAUACUUCUAUUUUUAGCUGAAGCCGUCAUUUAAUCUGUCAAUUCAAAAUAAAUCUUCCUGCUAAGAAGCAAUGAACGAGAUUGACAAAGUUGAAAAAGUUAUUACAUUGUAAUGACGUAAAUAUUGUCUGUUUAUUCUAAAUAGAAACGGACGUCAUAGAGAGAUACGAAUAUAAUCGCUAUCUAUUAUACAGGCGUAUUGGUUAAUAUUAUCUGCGGAUUGGAUGGAAUUGAAUUGUUCUUUCUGCGCUAUGGGGAUUUUACCUUUAUAAUCACGGUGUAAGUGAAUACGUAACUGUUUUAUCAGAAACAACAGAUGUUAGAUGUCAACAACUUUGCAUAUUUCUGAACAUUUGUCAUCGCAGAGUAAUGGUGUUCAAAGUUAUUGGAAACCUGCUUCGAAGUGAUCGGUUUUCACCUUAAUCCUGAACCUUAACAUGUCAUGUUCACUAGAUUCAAUUUCCAGCAAAUAGCCCUAUUUAAUAACAUAUCUGUGAACAGAAACUUUAGAAUGUUUUGUGGAAAAUACAACUUUAUUAAAAUCGA